AAUCCAUGCUAUGGGCAUUUCCGUAAAAGAUCCUUGAAUCACUCCCAUGUCUCAAACAAGGACUCGAGCUCCAUUUGAACAAAGCGAUGAUAUCUCAUUACUGAAGCU